AGCUCGCGCCGCCGCCGCUACAUGUCAACCAUUCACAGAGAAUGGGCACACCGGUGACAGGAACGCCUCAAGGCGGCGUCUUUUCACCGCAACUAAGCGUUGAGGACGAUGGCCUAAAGCAACAAUUCUCUCAUCAAACGAUACAAAGGGAUUCACCGAUACUGGAUACAAUGCCGCCGAGUGGAUC